UACGUAGGGGGCAAGCGUUGUCCGGAAUCAUUGGGCGUAAAGAGCGUGUAGGCGGCCCGAUAAGUCCGCUGUGAAAGUCCAGGGCUCAACCCUGGGAUGCCGGUGGAUACUGUCGGGCUCGAGUCCGGAAGAGGAGUGUGGAAUUCCGGGUGUAGCGGUGAAAUGCGUAGAUAUCCGGAGGAACACCGGUGGCGAAGGCGGCUUCCUGGACCGACACUGACGCUGAGGCGCGAAAGCCGUAGGGGAGCAAACGGG
rnacentral:rRNA from 1 species